rnacentral:rRNA from 1 species
CCUACGGGUGGCAGCAGUGGGGAAUAUUGGACAAUGGGGGGAACCCUGAUCCAGCCAUGCCGCGUGUGUGAAGAAGGCCCUCGGGUUGUAAAGCACUUUCAGUGAGGAAGAACGCCUGGUGGUUAAUACCCGUCAGGAAAGACAUCACUCACAGAAGAAGCACCGGCUAACUCCGUGCCAGCAGCCGCGGUAAUACGGAGGGUGCGAGCGUUAAUCGGAAUUACUGGGCGUAAAGCGCGCGUAGGUGGCUUGAUAAGCCGGUUGUGAAAGCCCCGGGCUCAACCUGGGAACGGCAUCCGGAACUGUCAAGCUAGAGUGCAGGAGAGGAAGGUAGAAUUCCCGGUGUAGCGGUGAAAUGCGUAGAGAUCGGGAGGAAUACCAGUGGCGAAGGCGGCCUUCUGGACUGACACUGACACUGAGGUGCGAAAGCGUGGGUAGCAAACAGGAUUAGAUACCCCAGUAGUU